CCUACGGGAGGCAGCAGUGAGGAAUAUUGGUCAAUGGACGAGAGUCUGAACCAGCCAAGUAGCGUGAAGGAUGACUGCCCUAUGGGUUGUAAACUUCUUUUAUAUGGGAAUAAAAUGUUCCACGUGUGGGAUUUUGUAUGUACUAUAUGAAUAAGGAUCGGCUAACUCCGUGCCAGCAGCCGCGGUAAUACGGAGGAUCCGAGCGUUAUCCGGAUUUAUUGGGUUUAAAGGGAGCGUAGGUGGAUUGUUAAGUCAGUUGUGAAAGUUUGCGGCUCAACCGUAAAAUUGCAGUUGAUACUGGCAGUCUUGAGUACAGUAGAGGUGGGCGGAAUUCGUGGUGUAGCGGUGAAAUGCUUAGAUAUCACGAAGAACUCCGAUUGCGAAGGCAGUUCACUGGACUGCAACUGACACUGAGGCUCGAAAGUGUGGGUAUCAAACAGGAUUAGAUACCCCUGUAGUC
rnacentral:rRNA from 1 species